AUCCCAAACCCGCCUUGCUGUGCUGCCUAGGCGGGGAUCCCCAUCACAUCUUUCUCUCCAAGGAUUUAAACUGUGCACCAUGCAAAGAAUGCGAUAUGUGGCAGAGGAGCCGGGGAGGUCCCCAUCAGCGAGGGACAAAGCUGCCAAUCCCCUUGUUGGUUCGACAGCGAGAGCAUCCUGCUGUCCAUCUCCCGUACAAGCGGCCUCUGGAUUGGACUCAUGGUUAAGGCUACACUGUGGGGCCAACUCUGGGAACUCUGUGAAGAGCCAGUGACGGUCUUUGAAGAAACGAUUCUCAUGGAUUGUGUAAAAAUCGUUCCAGUACUCAUUCGCCCGGUUGUCGUAUUCCUCUGUAAAAUAAGGUAAGACAGUAAGGCCAGAUACAACAUCUAGUUCAUCUUUUGUGAAUUACAAAUCAAAACGACAACUUGUGCUUUAUUUUUGAUGUAUUUUUCCCAGAGCUAUUUCUCAGCUACAGAUGUCAGAGAUAAAUACAGCCAUGAGUUCAUGAGCCUCAGCCAUUAUUUAACAUUUUCACAUCUUCAAAAUAAGAUCCUUUAACAUUCAAAUGAAAUAGAAACGAAUGCAACAGUGGGCAGUGCUGUCCUCCUGGUCAGAAGAGGUUCUGGUUCUGACCCAUGAAUAAAGUCAUACUGGAACAUUUA